ensembl:lncRNA
AUGUGUCUCCCCACUUGCUCUAUUUCUCUUUAUCUUUCUCCCUCGCUCUAUCUCUCUCUCCCUCUCGCGCGCCAGCUCAGUCCGUAUCUCCGUCGGUCUGAGUCCUCAGCGCUGGCAAGGGAUAAUAAACUGCCUUUCCGCAGCAAUACGUGGUCACCGGAACAGCCCGCAACAGAGUGGACUUUCACAGAAGAUUUGGGUGUUUUGAAUGCAGGGACUUCUCUGGUCGGUUGUGAAGAUCUAAGUAAACAAAGCUGUUACUGUGGCAUAACUGACCUUUGGAUCUGAAAAGUGGCAGCAGAGUCCUACUAAAACAAGAAGCCCCCGGAACCAUCCAAAAUAUCCUAUAUACAGAGAGGAGUUCAAAUUAUACAUUGAAUGCUGAUUUAUUAGAGUGAAAAAAGGUAAGAACUUUUUAAAUACCACAAACCUCUUGUAAAUUUAAAGUGAAUAGAUGCUAUUGCCUCCUAAACAGAAUUAAUUAUAAUAGUGCAAAAGUUAAAUAUUGUGAUGUUCCUGUGUGUAGCAUCUACUGCUCUGCAUAUCAUUCUGCAUGUAGUUGCAAAUAGUGCUUAAUCAUUUUAGUCUGAGCUUUGUAUUACACAAAUCUGCUUAGGUAAUUAGCUUUUGCAAAGAGGCUUGCAUUUUAAUGAUUUAGCAGUUAUUAAAGAUAUUGGACACCAUUGUAAACUACACCCAAUGUAUGAGUGGAUCAUAGCACUGUUGCGAAUAUUCGGUUUCUUCAAGUCGAAUAUGAACAGAAAUUUUUAUCCAAANGGUCUCACGAAUCCAGUUGCUUCGCUUCUGGUGUGAGCUGGCACUGCAUGGAGGAUGGAACAAAACCUCAUCUGAGCCAUAAGGGGGUAACGGUAAAAUAACACACUGAUCAAAGACUGCUUUUAAAUUAACAUUUAUUUACAAAACAUCUUUGGCCAGAUUAGCCUAAACUUUCUUAAUAGAAUUAACAUUGGCUUUACUCCCUUCAAACUUUAACUGGAAUGUCAAGGUUUCUGUCACGGCAACAUCCCGAACAGGCAAAUAUGCACACACACACACACACACACACACACACACACACACAAACAAACAAAAAUAAAAAAAAUAAAAAAGAUGCUGAGCCUGUCUAU